rnacentral:rRNA from 1 species
AGAACGAACGCUGGCGGCAUGCCUAACACAUGCAAGUCGAACGAGACCUUCGGGUCUAGUGGCGCACGGGUGCGUAACGCGUGGGAAUCUGCCCUUGGGUUCGGGAUAACAGUUGGAAACGACUGCUAAUACCGGAUGAUGACUUCGGUCCAAAGAUUUAUCGCCCGAGGGAUGAGCCCGCGUAGGAUUAGCUAGUUGGUGAGGUAAAGGCUCACCAAGGCGACGAUCCUUAGCUGGUCUGAGAGGAUGAUCAGCCACACUGGGACUGAGACACGGCCCAG